ACCUGCUCCCGCCUCACACGUUACCUGGGGCUGACACGUGACCGCGACGCCACGUGACUCGGGUCUCGCCUCCGACCCCCGCCCGGUCUCCGGCCGGCGGAAGCGGAAGGCGGGCGGUGGGUGCGGCUGGUCACCUCCUGGAGGGGCCUCUGGGUCCCGCCUGGGGCUGCCGGAUGGAAAGAGGGGUUGGGACCGGACGUGCGGCUCUCCACCGCGGGCCGAGGGUGGGAGUCCCACGGCGGCCGCCCCACGGGAGACGAGAGGGCGUUUCCGCAGGGACGCUGAUGCUAACGCGUCUCUCGGCCUCGGGGCCCGUGGAGAAUCCGGGCUGGGGGGUAGGAAGGAGGGGGAUGUGAACACGCGUACUGAGUGUUACCCCUCGUGCUGGAAAAACACACAAGGCACAGGAUGUUAAUCUAGACACAAUCUUGACUGAAGGGGCUUCAGAGGGUUCGGUGGCUCCCGGCUGUCACCUCGUCCUGGAGGCCGUGGGGGAGUGGCGGCCUUUCCCGGAAGGUUCAGAAGGGCCGCAAGCUGCCCAGGGAAGGAAAUCGCAGCCUCGCUGCUUCCAGAACCUUCCUGAAGUGCCUCUCACUCACUCCCCAGUUCCUGAUUUGCUUCUAGGCUCUGCCCGGUUCUUCUCUUUCUCGACUGCUGCCCGCGCUCUGGCCACACGGGCCCUUUGCAGAGAGAGGUGACGCCCUCCUGCCCUGCUGCUUCGUUGAGCACUUCCAACCCCACCCCCUGGGGAAACGUGCCUCCAGUUCACCUUCAGUGCAGUUGUCCAGAAAACAUCUUUUUACAGCCAGUGUGCUCCCUGUGGCUCCGGCGAGGUCUGCACGCUGCCCUUGAUGGCGUGUCUCAAGUCCCUGUGUUGGGGAAGGGGAAACGAGGCCACUUGUCCUGUAGGACACCCACACUUUGGGUUGACCUGCUGGAGCAGACCUGUAAGGAAGAAUUUUCCAUCGUGGACCAGUUGGUUACUCCAGAGUACCGUCCCUACAGGAAAGCUGGGAUCUGUGCCUGAUUCGAGAUGCUUUUGUCUGGCUUCAGAGUAAGAACUCAGUGCCGAAGCAGCUUCCAGAAGUGAACUGCCGCACCCGCGUGAGCCGUGCGCUCUGGGGGGUGAUGACCUGUCGGUGCGGGUUCCUCAGCGGUGACCGGCGCCCCACCUGGUGCGGACACUGAUGGUGGGGGAGGCCAUGUGUGGCGGGGAGGUAGCAGAGGGGCUGUGGGACUCUGUACUUUCAAUUUUGCUAUGAACCUGAAGCUGCUCUAAAAAAGCCAGUUUAUUAGAAAACAAAGUGAACAUCACAUUUUAAAAAAUGUGAUGUUAAAGUGCUGUGUCACCGUGGAUUUCUGUGUAGUUGAUAUGUCUUCAGUCUUUGUAGUUAUUAUCAUUUUCAGGUUAAAAUUGUGUGGUCUUGGUAGUGCAGCCUCCUAGAUGUGAGUAACUGUGAUAUUUCUCUCCACGUGGGCUGCCCCUGUUGCUGUCCCACCAGCGAUGCAUCAGCAGAGAGCCUGUGUGCCCACAGCCUGACCCUGACCUGUACGAAAUUAUGUCCCUGCAGUUUUCAUUUGCAUUUUCCUUAUGAGUGGGGCACCUGCCUUUUUGCCCAUCUUUCUAUCAGAUUAUAGAGAUAUUUGCAAUACAAGUCACAUUUUUAAAGUCAGUGUAUGAUUUUCAGAAUCAUUUUGUUUGCUUAUGGCAUGUCUUUGUGCAAGUUCUUUUGUUUAAACGUGGGUGAAUUGAUCACUCUUCCGUAGCAUUUGGGUUUUAAGUCCUUCCUAGUCCUAGGUUAGAAGACUCUGUCUCUUCCGCCAAUGCACGUGUAGUUUCAUUUCUGCAUUUGUAUCUCUGAUUCAGGAUGCCGACGGGCAGGGCAGAGAAGGGCCAUGUCACCCUUCCCAUGCAGGUCUCUAGGUGCCCCCCUUCCACUUAUCGAAAGCUCCCCUUUUGUGCACUGAUUUGAGAUUCCACCUCAUCCUGUGCUGACGUGAGAACAUACUUGACUUGAUUUUUGGGGCUGCCCCAGCACCACUCUUUUGAAGUUAUAGGUGCUGUAUCUGCGGGGCCAGCUCCCUCACUUUUCUCCUUCAGGGUUUUUCUGACUGUUGUUGUCUAUUUGGCCAUGUGAUCUUUUGCAAUCAAGUUGUCUUUGAAGAUAAAGUUAACGUUCACCCGAGAGAAAUUCUGACUUAGGUUGGCAGUGUUUACGGCAGCUGUAGCCAUCAUUGCCCCAGGCUGCACGCAGGCGGUGGCGGGGAUCCUCCGGGCACUUGGGAAGUGCAGGACAUUCUGGAAAGGGCAAAACUGUUGGGAUUGGCGGGGCUGGGGCAGCCCGAGGGGGUCUGGGCUGACGGUGACGAGGGGGUGGGGAUGGGACUUUGAAGGUUUGCCAAACCCAUAGGAACGUGCACCCCGAAGACUGGACUUCAUGUUAAUUUUAAAGCUACCAAGCAGGAUGUGGGGGUGCAGUCCGUGACAAAGGUGACUGUCCUGGUGGUCCUGUGGCCACACCCCAACCCCAGGAACUCCGUGUGUGGACCGGAGAUCUGUGUGGACACUGUCCUCUGGCUGGUCAGCUCAUUCUCCCUGGGGUAGGUUAGCGGUUCUGAAGCUGUACGUUUACCGGUGUUGAACAAAUAAGGAGAUAUUUUGCAGAUAAUGAGAACUGGCAGGUUCCUUGCUGUGGGAGCGAGAAGCCGCGGGGGGAAGAGGGGACCCUGUGAGCUGGAGCUCAUAUGUGUGUUUAGAACACAGAUCAACGGAGAGUCACAGAAAUCCACAGAGCCGGGCGUUUGCGCGCGUCGGACUGUCUCCUGAGUGCCCGCUGAGGGCCGAGAAGCACAGCCCUGCAGGUGAGGGUCCUGAGGACGCUCCCUGGGAAAGGAGCCAGGCGGUGCCCACCCGGGGCCUCGGGGACGCAGGUGCCAACCUGAGCUGCCAGCAGCCCCGGGCGCUGGAUGAGGAGGUGAUGCUGACAGCAUUGGGGCGGAAUCCAAAGGGUGGGGUAAAUGUCGCUGAGAAGUGAGGGAACACAGGGCAUGUCCUCCUCACAGAGCCUCCAGCACGGAGGGCCGUGGGCAGUGACCGCUGCGACCGCUGCCGGCGCCCCGGGGGACCGGUGCUCGAAGCUCAAGGGCAGACGGCGUCCGUAUGGUCUCAGAGACGUCUCCAAAUAGCUCUUUCUUAACUACAAAGAAAAAAGGAGUCAUUGUGCAGUGGAGACGCCACCUGCCUCAGCUGUGAGGGUCCCUGUCCCUGGUGACACCGCUGUGCCCUCCUGUCCUUCCUGGUGACCAGGCCAGUCCUCAGAGAGUAUGGAGCAGGUGGUGGGGCGGCUGGCGACGGCUGACCCUGCUCCUCAGAAGCCUCCAGGUCACGGAGACAGGGACCAAGGGGACUGUCCCAGGUGGGGGCCUGAGGAUCCAGGGUCAGCUCCCAGGACAGAGAUGGGCAUUUGCAGAAAUACUGGUGACGUCCUCGUCCACCGCGUGGCGUAGCCAGUAGCGUCGGAGCAGGGCCACCCUCGUUGCAGAUGGUACAUGCUUUCCUUCCCAGAGGGGCUCGUGUCCCGGGAAGUGUGGAGACCGGGGGAGGGGACUCUGGUGCCCCUGCAGCUCUUCUGUGAGUCCCAAACUGAAAGAAUCUUUUUUUUUUUUUUUUUUUUUUUUUGCGGUACGCGGGCCUCUCACUGUUGUGGCCUCUCCCGUUGCGGAGCACAGGCUCCGGACGCACAGGCUCAGUGGCCAUGGCUCACGGGCCCAGCCGCUCCGCGGCAUGUGGGAUCUUCCCGGACAGGGUCACGAACUUGCGUCCCCUGCAUCAGCAGGCGGACUCUCAACCACUGCACCACCAGGGAAGCCCCCGAAAGAAUCUUUACUGGGAUCACGUGGUGGUUAUCAGUCAGCUGUGGGGAUGUGACGUCUUUGUGGUAUCCCUGUCGUCCCCUGAAAAGGACGCACGAUGUGAGCCCCGAGUUUCCGCGUGAUUCGGGGACAGCCCCUCAUCCAGCUCCGGGGAGCCGCUACGAGGAGGGGGGCCUCGUGGAGGGUAGCUGCCUGUCAUGGGGACAGGUGUACCCGUGAAUGACUCUAGCGCUUUCCUGAGGGUGGGAAGAUGCAAAGAUCCGGUCUGUAAAUGUUGUUCCUAGAGUGUAACCGUCGAAGGGCCUGUUUUCCCAAAGCGCCAGGCCUCGUUCCGUCCUGGGUCUGCUCUCCCCUCGGGCUGCGCUGUGUGCGCCCGGCGCCCCACGGCUGGCCGGGGGACCGGAUGGCGGGGCGUCCUUGUUUUACGCUAUAAUUAAUUGAAGCCUAGCUUAUGCUGCUUUUGAAGAGCUCGCUGUCUUACUGUGUGAAGGCAACAGGUGCUGUGAUAGGCAAAUUGGAACAAAAGGGGGAAAUUCAAUGUUCACGUCAACCGGCUGUGUAUUGUGCUAUUUAAGGCUCUUUUCCAUGUAUUUGUGCUUUUUAAAAAAUUAUUGUUGCAUUUUGUAUCCUCCUCUUUUCACUUGUAACAAAUAUUUUCCCAUGCUAUUACAAACUCUGUAAAUACACUGUUACUAGUAUCUGUCAUUACA